UUCAAGCCUUCUCAUGCCACAGGGUCUGGGCUGUUCAGGAUGGUGACUAUGGGUGUCUGUCUAACACUGCAAACAAAGCUUGAGUGAGGGACGGUAUUGUGAGGGCAAGAUACCUGAAGCUGAAACAGGUGUUUUAUGACCACAAGGCAAAAAGCCCAAAGGAAAAUUCCAAAUUAUGAAGAGGAAAUGUGAAUACAAAAACCAUUUGUAUUAC